UUUGAAAGCGCCGCAGGUGAUGGCUGGUGGGGUAGGGCUCUCUCGGGAGGAGUAUCACAGACAGGGCUGUCAUCCCGGAGUCGUUCUUGAUGGCUCAGAUGGUGGAACUAUAUUGGAGAGACUGGAAUCUUUGGGAAGUAGACUCUGGCUAGAAGAAAUAUGUCACUACGCGGUCACAUCCUGUGAAAGUAAUGAAUACAAGGACGUCGUCCAGGACUGAGUCAGCCGCCCCCC